rnacentral:rRNA from 2 species
AACUGCAUUACGCUUACCGGGGAGUCCUUCGGGACAGGAUGACAGGUGGUGCAUGGUUGUCGUCAGCUCGUGUCGUGAGAUGUUGGGUUAAGUCCCGCAACGAGCGCAACCCCUAUUGUUAGUUGCUACCAUUAAGUUGAGCACUCUAGCGAGACUGCCUAGGUUAACUAGGAGGAAGGCGGGGAUGACGUCAAAUCAUCAUGCCCCUUAUGUCUAGGGCUACACACGUGCUACAAUGGAUAGUACAAUAAGACGCAAUAUCGUGAGGUGGAGCAAAUCUUAUAAAACUAUUCUCAGUUCGGAUUGUAGGCUGAAACUCGCCUACAUGAAGUUGGAGUUGCUAGUAAUCGCGAAUCAGAAUGUCGCGGUGAAUACGUUCCCGGGUCUGUAACACACCGA